AAAGUGUUUCUAGAAUA
rnacentral:rRNA from 1 species